UGAACAAAAAAGCCGUUUGUCCGACCCGGCUGAAAUUUCGACCCGACCUGACCCGAUCCGAAAAAGGCCGAACUGUUUAUGUGAAAAAGGGAACCGGAAUUAACCGUAACCCCUUUGCUUUUUAAUCGGGUAAUACCCGAUACUCGUUUUUAGCUGAUUAUAUCCAUCACAGCUCACUCUCUCUCUUCCUCGCAGCUCUCACUCUCUCCAGAGAACCUUAGCGUCCUCGAUAAUGGCAAUGCUUGAAGAAGGAAACCAAAACUGAGCCAGUGAACUAGCUCGAUAAUGUUCGCUAUCCUCUCGCACGAUUUUUCAUGUGGUUUGGUUUCCUGGUCAGAGGAUGUCCAGGCCUUUGUUGUUCGUGUUUGAUUCUUCUCGCACAGCUUCGGUUGUAUUGCUAACCCAUUGCUAAUUCAAAGACUAACUAUCAUGAUAGAUUCUGGAAGUUGACAUCAUGUGAUAAUUCAAAGACUAUCAUGACAAAUUCUGGAAACUCAGAUUAAAGAUGUUUGAAUUUGAAGGUCUUUCAAGGUCUU